GGGUUGUGAGGUUAAGCGACUAAGCGUACACGGUGGAUGCCCUGGCAGUCAGAGGCGAUGAAGGACGUGCUAAUCUGCGAUAAGCGUCGGUGAGGUGAUAUGAACCGUUAUAACCGGCGAUUUCCGAAUGGGGAAACCCAGUGUGAUUCGUCACACUAUCAUUAACUGAAUCCAUAGGUUAAUGAGGCGAACCGGGGGAACUGAAACAUCUAAGUACCCCGAGGAAAAGAAAUCAACCGAGAUUCCCCCAGUAGCGGCGAGCGAACGGGGAGGAGCCCAGAGCCUGAAUCAGUAUGUGUGUUAGUGGAAGCGUCUGGAAAGGCGCGCGAUACAGGGUGACAGCCCCGUACACAAAAAUGCACAUAUUGUGAGCUCGAUGAGUAGGGCGGGACACGUGGUAUCCUGUCUGAAUAUGGGGGGACCAUCCUCCAAGGCUAAAUACUCCUGACUGACCGAUAGUGAACCAGUACCGUGAGGGAAAGGCGAAAAGAACCCCGGCGAGGGGAGUGAAAAAGAACCUGAAACCGUGUACGUACAAGCAGUGGGAGCCUCUUAAUGGGGUGACUGCGUACCUUUUGUAUAAUGGGUCAGCGACUUAUAUUCUGUAGCAAGGUUAACCGAAUAGGGGAGCCGAAGGGAAACCGAGUCUUAACUGGGCGUUAAGUUGCAGGGUAUAGACCCGAAACCCGGUGAUCUAGCCAUGGGCAGGUUGAAGGUUGGGUAACACUAACUGGAGGACCGAACCGACUAAUGUUGAAAAAUUAGCGGAUGACUUGUGGCUGGGGGUGAAAGGCCAAUCAAACCGGGAGAUAGCUGGUUCUCCCCGAAAGCUAUUUAGGUAGCGCCUCGUGAAUUCAUCUCCGGGGGUAGAGCACUGUUUCGGCAAGGGGGUCAUCCCGACUUACCAACCCGAUGCAAACUGCGAAUACCGGAGAAUGUUAUCACGGGAGACACACGGCGGGUGCUAACGUCCGUCGUGAAGAGGGAAACAACCCAGACCGCCAGCUAAGGUCCCAAAGUCAUGGUUAAGUGGGAAACGAUGUGGGAAGGCCCAGACAGCCAGGAUGUUGGCUUAGAAGCAGCCAUCAUUUAAAGAAAGCGUAAUAGCUCACUGGUCGAGUCGGCCUGCGCGGAAGAUGUAACGGGGCUAAACCAUGCACCGAAGCUGCGGCAGCGACACUAUGUGUUGUUGGGUAGGGGAGCGUUCUGUAAGCCUGUGAAGGUGUACUGUGAGGUAUGCUGGAGGUAUCAGAAGUGCGAAUGCUGACAUAAGUAACGAUAAAGCGGGUGAAAAGCCCGCUCGCCGGAAGACCAAGGGUUCCUGUCCAACGUUAAUCGGGGCAGGGUGAGUCGACCCCUAAGGCGAGGCCGAAAGGCGUAGUCGAUGGGAAACAGGUUAAUAUUCCUGUACUUGGUGUUACUGCGAAGGGGGGACGGAGAAGGCUAUGUUGGCCGGGCGACGGUUGUCCCGGUUUAAGCGUGUAGGCUGGUUUUCCAGGCAAAUCCGGAAAAUCAAGGCUGAGGCGUGAUGACGAGGCACUACGGUGCUGAAGCGACAAAUGCCCUGCUUCCAGGAAAAGCCUCUAAGCAUCAGGUAACAUCAAAUCGUACCCCAAACCGACACAGGUGGUCAGGUAGAGAAUACCAAGGCGCUUGAGAGAACUCGGGUGAAGGAACUAGGCAAAAUGGUGCCGUAACUUCGGGAGAAGGCACGCUGAUAUGUAGGUGAAGCGACUUGCUCGUGGAGCUGAAAUCAGUCGAAGAUACCAGCUGGCUGCAACUGUUUAUUAAAAACACAGCACUGUGCAAACACGAAAGUGGACGUAUACGGUGUGACGCCUGCCCGGUGCCGGAAGGUUAAUUGAUGGGGUUAGCGGUAACGCGAAGCUCUUGAUCGAAGCCCCGGUAAACGGCGGCCGUAACUAUAACGGUCCUAAGGUAGCGAAAUUCCUUGUCGGGUAAGUUCCGACCUGCACGAAUGGCGUAAUGAUGGCCAGGCUGUCUCCACCCGAGACUCAGUGAAAUUGAACUCGCUGUGAAGAUGCAGUGUACCCGCGGCAAGACGGAAAGACCCCGUGAACCUUUACUAUAGCUUGACACUGAACAUUGAGCCUUGAUGUGUAGGAUAGGUGGGAGGCUUUGAAGUGUGGACGCCAGUCUGCAUGGAGCCGACCUUGAAAUACCACCCUUUAAUGUUUGAUGUUCUAACGUGGGCCCCUUACCGGGGUUGCGGACAGUGUCUGGUGGGUAGUUUGACUGGGGCGGUCUCCUCCUAAAGAGUAACGGAGGAGCACGAAGGUUGGCUAAUCCUGGUCGGACAUCAGGAGGUUAGUGCAAUGGCAUAAGCCAGCUUGACUGCGAGCGUGACGGCGCGAGCAGGUGCGAAAGCAGGUCAUAGUGAUCCGGUGGUUCUGAAUGGAAGGGCCAUCGCUCAACGGAUAAAAGGUACUCCGGGGAUAACAGGCUGAUACCGCCCAAGAGUUCAUAUCGACGGCGGUGUUUGGCACCUCGAUGUCGGCUCAUCACAUCCUGGGGCUGAAGUAGGUCCCAAGGGUAUGGCUGUUCGCCAUUUAAAGUGGUACGCGAGCUGGGUUUAGAACGUCGUGAGACAGUUCGGUCCCUAUCUGCCGUGGGCGCUGGAGAACUGAGGGGGGCUGCUCCUAGUACGAGAGGACCGGAGUGGACGCAUCACUGGUGUUCGGGUUGUCAUGCCAAUGGCACUGCCCGGUAGCUAAAUGCGGAAGAGAUAAGUGCUGAAAGCAUCUAAGCACGAAACUUGCCCCGAGAUGAGUUCUCCCUGACUCUUUAAGGGUCCUGAAGGAACGUUGAAGACGACGACGUUGAUAGGCCGGGUGUGUAAGCGCAGCGAUGCGUUGAGCUAACCGGUACUAAUGAACCGUGAGGCUUAACCUUACAACGCCGAAG
rnacentral:rRNA from 1 species